rnacentral:lncRNA from 1 species
AGAAUAAUUCCAUUUUUAAAAUUAAAAGACAAAAAAGGAAUGAUUAUGAAUAAAUCAAAAUCGUCCAUUAUUUACAACUUUAAAAUAAUAACAACUGCCUUGAGAUCAUUUAAAAAUAUUAUAUUGUCAACAAGUAAUAAUUUUUAUUUGUUUAUUUAUUAUUUUUUUAUAAAAGGUUAUAUCUCUCUAAUUUUAUUAAAUGUACAUAGAGCGUUUAAAUAUUUUAAAAAAAUAUUUGUCCUUAUUAUAUUUUUUUUUGGAAAUCCUACUAGUUCUUUGAACAAUCACCCCUUUUUAAUAUAUGUUACUUAUAUUUUGUACGUCUUAACAAUUUUAUCAAAGUUAAACAUGGAAAAUGUUUAUGAACCUUUACUUAAAAAAGGAAGUCAGAUGAAGCACGAUAAUAAUAGGGCCUUUGAAUAUGUAAGUAUAAAAACGGACAACCAUGUCAGUAAGGGUAGCAUUAACAACACUAGUAACAUUAAUACCAGUAGUGGUAAUAAUACUAGCCGUAGCAAUAAUAACGUAGUAGGUACGAAUAAUGAUCAUAACACGGACCUUCAUACAGAUAGUAACGACUAUAAUGAUGACAACCGAUAUAGCAACUCAUAUAGUAAUAAUAAGAAGAUCAAUGAAAAUAAAAGUGACAAUUUUAAAGUGCUGCAAGUAGUGGAAAAGGACGUGACAUAUAAUCAAUUUGAUAGUAAAAUUAAAACACAACUUAACAGCAGUAAUAAAGGGAAUGAUAGUAUUGAUAGUGUUAACAUUAGUAGUAAUAUGCACAUCAAUGUUAACAGCGAUAAUUAUAACAACGCUUCGUUAAAACAUAGAUAUGAGAUAUGGAUGUAUUUGGAUAUAAUUCGUACUAUCAAAAGAAAUUACGUGAAAUUUAACAAUAAUAUAUAUUUAUUACCUUUGAGUUAUUAUUUUAUAAAUAUGAGCAAACAGAUUAAGCAAUACUUAGAAGAAAAAAGGACACAUCAAAAGGGUAAUAAAAAGGAUGAUACGGAUAAGGUCUAUAUUAAUGGAAUUGCUCAUGAUAACAACUAUAAUGGUGGGUGUGAUAAUGGCUGCAAUGAUGGGUGUGAUGAUAUCUACGAUGAUGGGUGUGGUGAUAGCUACGAUGACAACUAUGAUGAUAUCCUAGAUACCAAUUUAAAUAAUAAAAGCGAAACUAUAAAACAAAAAAUGAAUAGUCAUAAUAAUAAGAACAUAUCAUCAAUGGAGAUAAAUUUAACUGAUAAAAUCCAAGACAAAAAUUUAUUUAUAAACAUAAAUAACAAGUUUACUUCAUUAUAUCCAACAUGUAAAAAUAUACACGUUCCUAACAUAUACAUUAAUGAGCAUAUUGGAAAUAAUUCACCUGCAUGUACUAUUACUACAGGCGAUAUAGCUACUGAUUGUGAAAACAAACAAAUUAAUAUAAAUGAUAAAAAAAAUACUACAGGUGUUGUAACCAUUACUAAAAACUGCAAUGAAGUAAUAAAAGAAAAUAUAAUAUAUAAUAAUAAACAUAAAGAGGAUAUCAAUAAAAAAAAAAUAAAAGAAGAACAAGAAACAACAUCGAAUCCAGAAAUAAUAAAGAAAAAAGAUUUACAAAAUAAAAUAAAAAAAUGUGCUCUUUUGAAUACAACUAAUUUUUCAAAACAACCCAAUUUAUAUUAUGACCAGCAAUUAUAUAAUAUAAUAAAAAAACAAAUAAUGAGUAAAUCGAAUGUAUAUGGACGUGUUGGAAAAAAAAAUUUAUGCGCUUUAUUAUUAUACAACCUAAUUUAUAUUAACAAAAUGAAUAAAAAAUUAAAUGAUUGUCGAUUUGCUUAUUUUAAUUAUAAAUAUUGUAAUUAUAAAAAAAUAAUAUUAAAUUAUAAUAAAUAUUAUAAUAUAAUAUUAGAAACUUUUAAUAGAAAAAUCAGCCAAAAUUAUUAUGCAUAUACUUUAGGAAAUAAUCAGGAUGGAAGCCUUGCUAUAGGAAAACCUUCUUAUUUAAAAUUAUCCCCAACUAUUGGUUCUAUUGGGUAUGAAAAAAAUAAACGAAGUGUGAAAAAAGGAACAGAUUUUGGUUUUACUAAUAAUUUACAACUAAUACCUAUAAAAAUUAAAAAGAUGUGCAUGAAUGAAGGUAUGAUUUCGAUCAUAAAUAAGAAACAUAAUUUGUACAUAGGAGGACAAAAUACAUUUUGCGAUGUAAAAGUUAAAUUGCGCAUACAAGAUAAAACAUUAAAAAAAGAGAUUAACAAGAAGAACAAGAACUGUUCAAAUAAAAAAAUCCCAAUUGAUACUUUUUUUUCUAACUUAAGAUUAAAAAAAAAAAUGAAAAAUCAAGAAACUAACGCAGUAACAGUAGUUGAUUAUAAUAGUAAUAGUAGUUUAUCUGAAGAUAGUGAUAAUUUAUUAUUUAAAGAUUUACCAAAUUAUAAUGAUACAAUACCUAAGUUGAUAAAUCCGAAUCUAACCAUGUGUAAUAAUACUAUGUUAGAAAAUUGUGAUAAUGAUAAGCAAAAAAUAUGUAAUUGUGAUAACUGCUGUUAUUCAUCAUUAAAUAACAACGCGAUUGAUAAUGAAUUUAGUUCAUGUAAUAGUCAUGUUUACUCAAGUUUUGAUAGCGACGAUAGUGAUAAUACUUAUUUCAAAGUGAGUGAUGCAGAUGAAAUAGAUAAAAACAUGAACAUUAAUAUAUUAUUGGAUAAAAAUGCAGAUAAAUCUUAUUAUGUAAAAAAAAGGAAUUAUAAUUUAAAAAAAUUUACUAUUGAUGAUUUUAAUAUUUAUAACAGUGUAUUAUAUUCUGCUUCUUAUGCUAAUCAAUAUUUAUUAUAUGUAUUACCUCAUCAAAAAUCUUCUAUAAAAUCGAUUAAAAAGAAUGUGCAAAAAUUUUGCAACGAAUUCAACAAUAAACGAGCAUAUUAUAGGAUACCAAACAAUGAUACAAAAGAAAGUAUACUACUAAACGACGAGAAUAAAAAAGAAAAAAAAAAAAAUAAAGAAAGUUAUUUAUCUAUGACUAAAAAAUCAAAUGAAAAGAAAUUAUUAUUAGAUGGUAAUAUUAAUAAUAAUAAAUUUAUCUAUAAUUUUAUACAUGAUAUAAAGAAUAGAAUAAAAUUUAUUGAUAUAUAUAAUGGCUCCGAUUUUGUGAUAUCUAUAAAUAACUUUGGACAUGUGUAUGCAUGGGGAAAUAACAAAUAUGGUUGUUUAGGCACAGGUGAUAAUAUCAAUAGAUACACACCAACGUUAAUUAACCCUGGUCAUUUUUUUGUAUACGAUUUUGAAAAAUUACAGAUACACACAAACUAUAAAACUGAAAUAAAAAUAAAAGAAUCUGAAAAAAUAAAUAGUUCCAUGUGUGAACACAUUUUAUAUAACUUAUUAAUUUUAGAAACAAUUAAAAAACAUGCCCAUGGUAAAAAUAAAAAUGCAAAAUACAAUUUACAAGAAUCGAGUAACAAAUAUAUCGAAUUCGAUGAUGCGUUUAGUAAUAAAUAUAUGAGUACGAAAGGUAACAUUCGAAAUACUAACAGAUAUAAAGAUGAAGACUUUUAUACCUUAAGGACAAACAAUAUGUAUACAUCAGAAAAUAUGCUUAAUUUUGAAAAUGUAGAUAUCCACAAUGUAACAAUAAGUGUGCAAAAAAUAUAUGUGCCAAUUAGUUCUAUCAGUUGUGGUAACAAUCAUGUCUGUGCAUAUUCAAAUGGAACUAUAUUUAUGUGGGGUGAGCAAAGGUUAGGUCAAACGUCCAUACCCUUUGAAAAUAUCUAUUUCGACAAUAUAAAUGUAUCUGAAGAUUCAGAAAGUGGUUCGAACUCUAAUUAUAAAAAAAAAAAAAAUGAAAAAAAAGGCUUUAACAAAAAAAACAAAAUGUCUGAAAGCCUUUCACCUUCAGAUAUUUCAGAUGAAAGUUAUUAUUUUAACGUAGUGGAUAAAAAAAAAUUAAACAAUGUAAAAAAUAAAUAUAACAGGAAUCGAUUGAAUCCGUGUAAAAAAAAAUUAACUUUUAAAGUGGAAAAUCCAGUUCAUAAUGUUUUUACUAUAACAGCUAAUGACGUGUUACUUAAUAACAGAAAAUUAAAUUUAUAUUCCAAUUUAAACUCUAUGAAAAAAGUAAACAGAACCAAAAUUAAUAACAACUUAGUGCUUAUCCCGAUACAAGUUUGCUUGUUUAACUUAUCUUAUAGAGUUAAAAGGCAAGAAUAUGAUAAUAGGUACAGUAACAUGAUGAAAAGUAGUCGUGAAAGUAGGGGUGUGUAUAAUAUGCAAAAUUUAAUGAGCUAUAAUUUGAAUAAGAUCGAAAAGAAUGACCACCACCACCAUGAUCAUAACAAUAGCAAUAAGAGCGAUGAUAAUAGAAAUAAAAAUAGUGAAGAUGUACACAUCGCCGAAAGUGGUUCACAAGCAAAGCUGGCACAAGCAAAACCGGCACAAACAAAACCGGAACAAGCGCAAGCAUAUGCACAGAACAAAAGCACAAACAAAAGCAACAGUCCGCCCAAAGCUAAGUAUAUUCGAAUAUUUGACUACUUAGAAAUGUAUAUUAAAGCUGAAAUAGUAAACAUAUAUAUAAGUUUUUUUCGAAAUGAUAUAAACAUAUACACCAACAUUCCUAACAAUAAUAAUAUAAAUCCUUAUAUUUAUGGUAUGAACUUUUAUGAUUAUAACUUUUAUGGUGAU